GGGGUUGUGGCUCAGUGUUAGUGUACUUGCCUAGGAUGCAUGAGGCAUAGGGUUUGAUUCCCAGCACCA
rnacentral:tRNA from 1 species